rnacentral:rRNA from 1 species
CCUACGGGUGGCAGCAGUGAGGAAUAUUGGUCAAUGGACGAAAGUCUGAACCAGCCAUGUCGCGUGAAGGAAGACUGCCCUAUGGGUUGUAAACUUCUUUUAUAUGGGGGUAAACUGUUCCACGUGUAUGUUUUUGUAUGUACCAUAUGAAUAAGGAUCGGCUAACUCCGUGCCAGCAGCCGCGGUAAUACGGAGGAUCCGAGCGUUAUCCGGAUUUAUUGGGUUUAAAGGGAGCGUAGGUGGAUUGAUAAGUCAGUUGUGAAAGUUUGCGGCUCAACCGUAAAAUUGCAUUUGAAACUGGCAGUCUUGAGUACAGUAGAGGUAGGCGGAAUGCGUGGUGUAGCGGUGAAAUGCUUAGAGAUCACGAAGAACUCCGAUUGCGAAGGCAGCUUAC